rnacentral:rRNA from 1 species
GAUGAACGCUAGCGGCAGGCCUAACACAUGCAAGUCGAGGGAGAAGCCCUUCGGGGCAGAAACCGGCGCACGGGUGCGUAACGCGUAUGCAACCUACCUUUCACAGGGGGAUAGCCCGAAGAAAUUUGGAUUAAUACCCCAUAAUAUUAUUGGAUGGCAUCAUUUGAUAAUUAAAAUUACGAUGGUGAAAGAUGGGCAUGCGUCCUAUUAGCUAGUUGGAGUGGUAACGGCACCCCAAGGCUACGAUAGGUAGGGGUCCUGAGAGGGAGAUCCCCCACACUGGUACUGAGACAGGGACCAGACUCCUACGGGAGGCAGCAGUGAGGAAUAUUGGUCAAUGGUCGGAAGACUGAACCAGCCAUGCCGCGUGCAGGAAGAAUGCCUUAUGGGUUGUAAACUGCUUUUAUAUGGGAAGAAUAAGGAGUACGUGUACUUGAUGACGGUACCAUAUGAUAAGCUUCG